UACGAAGGGGGCUAGCGUUGCUCGGAAUCACUGGGCGUAAAGGGUGCGUAGGCGGGUCUUUAAGUCAGGGGUGAAAUCCUGGAGCUCAACUCCAGAACUGCCUUUGAUACUGAAGAUCUUGAGUUCGGGAGAGGUGAGUGGAACUGCGAGUGUAGAGGUGAAAUUCGUAGAUAUUCGGAAGAACACCAGUGGCGAAGGCGACUCACUGGCCCGAUACUGACGCUGAGGCACGAAAGCGUGGGGAUCAAACAGG
rnacentral:rRNA from 1 species